UACAGAGGUCCCAAGCGUUACUGAGAAUCACUGGGUUUAAAGGGUGCGUAGGUGGUCCGUUAAGUUCAGUUGUGAAAUCCCCCGGGCUCAACCCGGGAACUGCUUCUGAUACUGGCGGACUUGAGGCCAGUUAGGGGUCACUAGAAACUGACGGUGGAGCGGUGAAAUGCGUAGAUAUCGUCAGGAAUGCCGGUGGUGAAGGACGGGUGACUGGGCUGGUUCUGACACUGAGGCACGGAAAGCGUGGGGAGCCGAACGGG
rnacentral:rRNA from 1 species